rnacentral:rRNA from 1 species
CCUACGGGUGGCAGCAGUGGGGAAUAUUGCACAAUGGGGGGAACCCUGAUGCAGCGACGCCGCGUGAGUGAAGAAGUAUUUCGGUAUGUAAAGCUCUAUCAGCAGGGAAGAAAAUGACGGUACCUGCCUAAGAAGCCCCGGCUAACUACGUGCCAGCAGCCGCGGUAAUACGUAGGGGGCAAGCGUUAUCCGGAUUUACUGGGUGUAAAGGGAGCGCAGACGGCUGUGCAAGUCUGGAGUGAAUGGCGGGGGCCCAACCCCCGGACUGCUCUGGAAACUGUAAAGCUGGAGUGCAGGAGAGGUAAGCGGAAUUCCUAGUGUAGCGGUGAAAUGCGUAGAUAUUAGGAGGAACACCAGUGGCGAAGGCGGCUUACUGGACUGCAACUGACGUUGAGGCUCGAAAGCGUGGGGAGCAAACAGGAUUAGAUACCCGUGUAGUC